rnacentral:misc_RNA from 1 species
UUCUGCUGUUGAGUCAUGGCUUUGAGAUUGCUCAAGUUAGCAGGAAUGGAACCAUUUAAUUGGUUUUCUGCCAGAUCCAAAAUUUGCAGGGAACUCGAAUUUGAAAGUGCCAAGGGAAGUUCUCCAGAAAAUUUAUUUGACCUGAGACUAAGUAUCCUGAGACGCGGAAAAGCUUCUCCAAUCCAUCGUGGUAAGUUUCCUGUCAACAUGUUGUUUCCGAAGUCUAAGGUUUCCAACUUUGACAAAUUCUGAAGAGAUGAUGGAAUUUUUCCUGAGAGUUGGUUGUUGCUCAAGUGAAGUGUUUGAAGCCCAGUUAUCUGACCUAUAGAGUUUGGAAUCUCACCGGACAAUUUGUUUUUUUGAAGGUCUAGAACAGAAAGAGAAGAACAAUUUCCCAUGCUUGAAGGAAUGCUUCCUGCCAAGUUAUUUUUUGAAAGAUCAAGGACAUCGAGCGAUAUCUCUCCAAUUGAGGCUGGGAUUGCACCUAUAAUCUGGUUUCGGGGAAAUAGA